UACGUAGGGGGCAAGCGUUAUCCGGAUUUAUUGGGUGUAAAGGGUGCGUAGACGGGAAAUUAAGUUAGUUGUGAAAUCCCUCGGCUUAACUGAGGAACUGCAACUAAAACUGAUUUUCUUGAGUACUGGAGAGGAAAGCGGAAUUCCUAGUGUAGCGGUGAAAUGCGUAGAUAUUAGGAAGAACACCAGUGGCGAAGGCGGCUUUCUGGACUGAAACUGACGCUGAGGCACGAAAGCGUGGGGAGCGAACAGG
rnacentral:rRNA from 1 species